CAGCAGUCAAUUGCUGGUACUCAGUGUCCAGUGAUGACGGAAAUGGAAGUCAACCAGGUUCUGAGCAGAGAAUUAAUCCAAGUUUAAAAUAACAAAAAGCUCUUUCACAAUGAGCAAUAAACCAAUCGAUUUAUGAUGUCGCAUCAGUCAAUUGCUAACUCUCAGUGUCCAUCAGUGAUGACGAAAAUAACAUACCAAGAAGUUCUGUAGGAAAAUAAUGAAUCGAAGUUUAUAAUGA